UGCUGGAGGUAUCAGAAGUGCGAAUGCUGACAUAAGUAACGAUAAAGCGGGUGAAAAGCCCGCUCGCCGGAAGACCAAGGGUUCCUGUCCAACGUUAAUCGGGGCAGGGUGAGUCGACCCCUAAGGCGAGGCCGAAAGGCGUAGUCGAUGGGAAACGGGUUAAUAUUCCCGUACUUGGUGUUACUGCGAAGGGGGGACGGAGAAGGCUAUGUUGGCCGGGCGACGGUUGUCCCGGUUUAAGCGUGUAGGUGUGUGUUCCAGGUAAAUCCGGUUCACUUUAACACUGAGGCGUGACGACGAGGCACUACGGUGCUGAAGCAACAAAUGCCCUGCUUCCAGGAAAAGCCUCUAAGCAUCAGGUAACAUCAAAUCGUACCCCAAACCGACACAGGUGGUCAGGUAGAGAAUACCAAGGCGCUUGAGAGAACUCGGGUGAAGGAACUAGGCAAAAUGGUGCCGUAACUUCGGGAGAAGGCACGCUGACAUGUAGGUGAAGUGAUUUACUCACGGAGCUGAAGUCAGUCGAAGAUACCAGCUGGCUGCAACUGUUUAUUAAAAACACAGCACUGUGCAAACACGAAAGUGGACGUAUACGGUGUGACGCCUGCCCGGUGCCGGAAGGUUAAUUGAUGGGGUCAGCGCAAGCGAAGCUCCUGAUCGAAGCCCCGGUAAACGGCGGCCGUAACUAUAACGGUCCUAAGGUAGCGAAAUUCCUUGUCGGGUAAGUUCCGACCUGCACGAAUGGCGUAAUGAUGGCCAGGCUGUCUCCACCCGAGACUCAGUGAAAUUGAACUCGCUGUGAAGAUGCAGUGUACCCGCGGCAAGACGGAAAGACCCCGUGAACCUUUACUAUAGCUUGACACUGAACAUUGAGCCUUGAUGUGUAGGAUAGGUGGGAGGCUUUGAAGUGUGGACGCCAGUCUGCAUGGAGCCGACCUUGAAAUACCACCCUUUAAUGUUUGAUGUUCUAACGUGGACCCGUAAUCCGGGUUGCGGACAGUGUCUGGUGGGUAGUUUGACUGGGGCGGUCUCCUCCUAAAGAGUAACGGAGGAGCACGAAGGUUGGCUAAUCCUGGUCGGACAUCAGGAGGUUAGUGCAAUGGCAUAAGCCAGCUUGACUGCGAGCGUGACGGCGCGAGCAGGUGCGAAAGCAGGUCAUAGUGAUCCGGUGGUUCUGAAUGGAAGGGCCAUCGCUCAACGGAUAAAAGGUACUCCGGGGAUAACAGGCUGAUACCGCCCAAGAGUUCAUAUCGACGGCGGUGUUUGGCACCUCGAUGUCGGCUCAUCACAUCCUGGGGCUGAAGUAGGUCCCAAGGGUAUGGCUGUUCGCCAUUUAAAGUGGUACGCGAGCUGGGUUUAGAACGUCGUGAGACAGUUCGGUCCCUAUCUGCCGUGGGCG
rnacentral:rRNA from 1 species